GACAGAGGGUGCAAACGUUGCUCGGAAUUACUGGGCGUAAAGCGCAUGUAGGCGGGUCGUUAAGUCGGGGGUGAAAUCCCAGAGCUCAACUCUGGAACUGCCUUCGAUACUGGCGACCUGGACCCAAGUAGAGGCGAGUGGAAUUGCGAGUGUAGAGGUGAAAUUCGUAGAUAUUCGCAGGAACACCAGUGGCGAAGGCGACUCGCUGGACUUGUGGUGACGCUGAGAUGCGAAAGCGUGGGUAGCAAACAGG
rnacentral:rRNA from 1 species